rnacentral:rRNA from 1 species
ACACAUGCAAGUCGAACGGAGAUUACAGGCGGAAGUCUUCGGAUGGAAGCUUGUAAACUUAGUGGCGGACGGGUGAGUAACACGUGAGCAACCUGCCUAUCAGAGGGGGAUAACGAUUGGAAACGAUCGCUAAUACCGCAUGACAUAGCGGAAUCGCAUGGUUCUGUUAUCAAAGAUUUUAUCGCUGAUAGAUGGGCUCGCGUCCGAUUAGAUAGUUGGUGGGGUAACGGCCUACCAAGUCGACGAUCGGUAGCCGGACUGAGAGGUCGAACGGCCACAUUGGGACUGAGACACGGCCCAGACUCCUACGGGAGGCAGCAGUGGGGGAUAUUGCACAAUGGGGGAAACCCUGAUGCAGCGACGCCGCGUGAGGGAAGACGGUCCUCUGGAUUGUAAACCUCUGUCUUCGGGGACGAAACGAGACGGUACCCGAGGAGGAAGCCACGGCUAACUACGUGCCAGCAGCCGCGGUAAUACGUAGGUGGCAAGCGUUGUCCGGAAUUACUGGGUGUAAAGGGAGCGUAGGCGGGCAGGCAAGUCAGGCGUGAAAUAUAUCGGCUCAACCGGUAACGGCGCUUGAAACUGCAGGUCUUGAGUGAAGUAGAGGUUGGCGGAAUUCCUAGUGUAGCGGUGAAAUGCGUAGAUAUUAGGAGGAACACCAGUGGCGAAGGCGGCCAACUGGGCUUUUACUGACGCUGAGGCUCGAAAGUGUGGGGAGCAAACAGGAUUAGAUACCCUGGUAGUCCACACCGUAAACGAUGAUUACUAGGUGUGGGGGGACUGACCCCUUCCGUGCCGGA